CCUACGGGUGGCUGCAGUGGGGAAUAUUGCACAAUGGGCGCAAGCCUGAUGCAGCCAUGCCGCGUGUGUGAAGAAGGCCUUCGGGUUGUAAAGCACUUUCAGCGGGGAGGAAGGCGGUGAGGUUAAUAACCUCAUCGAUUGACGUUACCCGCAGAAGAAGCACCGGCUAACUCCGUGCCAGCAGCCGCGGUAAUACGGAGGGUGCAAGCGUUAAUCGGAAUUACUGGGCGUAAAGCGCACGCAGGCGGUCUGUCAAGUCGGAUGUGAAAUCCCCGGGCUCAACCUGGGAACUGCAUUCGAAACUGGCAGGCUAGAGUCUUGUAGAGGGGGGUAGAAUUCCAGGUGUAGCGGUGAAAUGCGUAGAGAUCUGGAGGAAUACCGGUGGCGAAGGCGGCCCCCUGGACAAAGACUGACGCCCAGGUGCGAAAGCGUGGGGAGCAAACAGGAUUAGAUACCCGGGUAGUC
rnacentral:rRNA from 1 species